CUGCACCCCGCGCGCGGUUUCGGUCGCCAGGGUCCGACCCGCGCCCGGAAAGCGGCCCGGAGAGCUCCGGGGGACAAAUGCCGCCUCCCCUCCAUCCACCCGCCCACCAUCCCUGUCCCCACCUCCCUAGCCCCCACCCUCUGGACUCUGCGGCCGGCUGAGCGGGCGCCUUUCGACCCUCUGCGUUGCAAUCGGACCCGGUCCGCCGAGAAGGGCCCCUCCCAGCCACCCAUUCCCGGCCGGGGCCGAGCUUCCGGGCCCUCGCACCUGCAGCUCCGGGCGCAUGUUCCAGCAGCAGCCGGGCCGGAGUCCCGUGCUUCGGUCGUCCCUGUGGCCGCCAGACCCUCGGUCUCGGCGCCCCCCAAAUCCGCGCCUUGCUCUCCGCAGGGCGGGAAGGGCCCCCUCGCUCGGGCCGAGGAAGAGCUUGGGGUCCGCGGAGGGGGCGCCCUGGCCGGCUCCAGCACUCUCAGUGCGAGUCCUGCCUGGAUCCCGGGAGGCCGCAGAGUAGAGCGAGAAUACUGAAGCAUGAAGUUUGAAGGGUCUUAGAGAGUCAUUGACCAAGUGGUAGCCCAGCUCUUGACUCUUCCCAGUGCCUUUUAUUAUCAAGCAGUGAAGGGCAAGAGGUAAGAAUUGUUUAAUUUCAAAAGAAAGAAAAAAAGUAGAGCAAUGAGAUUAAUGGACUUGGAUUAAUGUGAUAAAACAUCUCUGAGUUUGAGCACAUACCCAUCCGCUUACCUGUGUCAACUCAAGAAUGAAAUGGAAACUCGCUGUAUUGUGUGGGCAUGAGGAUUGACUCAAAGACUGUGACAGGAAGUGUUAAGGCUGCAGCCUCAAAGCUCUGCAAUGUUAGGGUCACAUCCACAUUAUAAGGCACAAUGAUAGCUGUGUCACUAGACUACUUGGAGCAGAAGAAAUGACUUUGUGGAACUUAGGUGUUGGUGACAUUUUAGCCUUGGUAUUUCAUCAUCAGAUUUUUCCUGUUUUAAUUUAUCCCAGUAAAAUCAGUAGGUGGAAGAUAAAAGACUCCUACGCUUCAAGGCUGAUUAUAUAUCUGUAUGCAAGUAUUUUCAGAUUCAACAGAUAGUCAGAAGGGUUAAAGACUUUGUUUUAAACAUUUACUUAAAGCUCUCUAAAGCUUUUGACUAGAGCUCCCAUUUAAUUCUAUCAUUUAAGAAUAAUGACUGUUAAUAACAAGAUAAAAUAAAAAACAGUAUGAGAGGUUAUCUGGCUUCCUG
rnacentral:lncRNA from 1 species